AUACGUAGGGAGCAAGCGUUGUCCGGAUUUACUGGGUGUAAAGGGUGCGUAGGCGGCCAUACAAGUCAGUUGUGAAAACUAUGGGCUCAACCCAUAGCCUGCAAUUGAAACUGCGUAGCUUGAGUGAAGUAGAGGUAGGUGGAAUUCCCGGUGUAGCGGUGAAAUGCGUAGAGAUCGGGAGGAACACCAGUGGCGAAGGCGACCUACUGGGCUUUAACUGACGCUGAGGCACGAAAGCAUGGGUAGCAAACAGGAUUAGAUACCCUGGUAGUCCAUGCCGUAAACGAUGAUUACUAGGUGUGGGGGGUCUGACCCCCUCCGUGCCGGAGUUAACACAAUAAGUAAUCCACCUGGGGAGUACGACCGCAAGGUUGAA
rnacentral:rRNA from 1 species